rnacentral:rRNA from 1 species
GACGAACCGUGCGAACGUUGUUCGGAAUCACUGGGCUUAAAGGGCGCGUAGGCGGGCGGCAAAGUCAGGGGUGAAAUCCUCCAGCUUAACUGGAGAAGUGCCUUUGAUACUGGUCGUCUUGAGGAAGGUAGGGGCAUGCGGAACUGAUGGUGGAGCGGUGAAAUGCGUUGAGAUCCACAGGAACUCCGGUGGCGAAGGCGGCGUGCUGGACCCGAUCUGACGCUGAGGCGCGAAAGCCAGGGGAGGCGAACGGGG